UACGGAGGGGGCUAGCGUUGUCCGAAGUUACUGGGCGUAAAGCGCGCGUAGGCGGGUUGGUAAGUCCGCUGUGAAAGCCCGGAGCUCAACUCCGGAGGGUCGGUGGAUACUGCCAGUCUUGAAGGUGCUAGGGGGAGAUGGAAUUCCGCGUGUAGCAGUGAAAUGCGUAGAUAUGCGGAGGAACACCGAUGGCGAAGGCAAUCCCCUGGGCCUGUACUGACGCUCAUGCACGAAAGCGUGGGGAGCAAACAGG
rnacentral:rRNA from 1 species